rnacentral:tRNA from 1 species
GUUGUGUAAUUGAAAGCACACCUGGCUGACAAUCAGGAGGUUCAAGUUCGAAUCCUGGC